rnacentral:rRNA from 1 species
CAGUAGCCGCGGGAAUACGGAGGAUCCAAGCGUUAUACGGAAUCAUUGGGUUUAAAGGGUCCGUAGGCGGUCUUGUAAGUCAGUGGUGAAAGCCCAUCGCUCAACGGUGGAACGGCCAUUGAUACUGCAGGACUUGAAUUAUUGGGAAGUAACUAGAAUAUGUAGUGUAGCGGUGAAAUGCUUAGAGAUUACAUGGAAUACCAAUUGCGAAGGCAGGUUACUACCAAUUGAUUGACGCUGAUGGACGAAAGCGUGGGUAGCGAACAGGAUUAGAUACCCCUGUAGUCCCUGUCUCUUAUAC